UGGUGGGUUGACCUGUCGCCUUAAUUGAGAUAACGAACGAGACCUUGACCUGCUUAAUAGUCGCAUGGAUCUCCGUUUAGUGAAGCGUGAGACUACGGUCAAGCGUGGAUCUUGGAUUGAUACAUGCGUACUUCUUAGAGGGACUCUUCGCCGAGAGCGAAUGGAAGUUCGAGGCAAUAACA
rnacentral:rRNA from 1 species